UUCAGCGAGAAUAGCGGUAGCAAAAUUUUAACAGUUUGCCACUGCAAAGUAGCUGCCGUCGUGUUAGGGUGGUUUAUAUGUUUCAUUUCUCAUACUUUGUAUUCUUUUAAGAUUUAACAACAUCUGAACGAUUUUAUCUCUUGGAAUCCCUCUUCUUUCUUUCUCUGCUCCGCCCUUUUUCUUCUUCAAAUCCAUGACUCCGUCUCGAACCGAUACCGAUAAGUACUUUCAGAUUUCCUCCUCUUUCCAUCACCUCCUUCAGCUAUUUUCCACUCUCGAUCUGUCUAAUUCACGGCGGAAUGCAACGCCCUCCAAAGGCGCCAAUUUAGGUCAAAUCCGGAAAGUUAUCAUAAGAUCUACUAACCAAUCGUUCAUCAAAAGCGUCCUCUAGAAAACCCAACAAAAGUGUGAGAAAAAGGAAAAGGGAUUUUGGGCAAGUUGAUUUCGAUGCCUUGGAGCAGUUUGAGAAUCCCAAUUUUCAUAGACUCGCUCCACACCAUCAAUCUCUGCAACAGAAUCAAGCAAGUCCUGGCCUUAGUCAAUUGCCCUCACAAUUUUUCCCUUAAAGAUCUCCUCAGACCCGACUGCAAUCGCACUGAGUAUUUUCUUAGUGCAAUUAUCAAUUACCAUCUUUAUAGAUAUUGAGGAGCGGCACGAAUUGUUACAAGUAUAUCAUAUAUAUCUUGUAACAAACUAAAGGGUUCACUAUAUUCCAG